AAGUCGUAACAAGGUAACCGUAGGUGAACCUGCGGUUGGAUCAUUAACAAAUUGAUCAGGCUAGGCUUCACAGCUCUGCCGGUGUUUCUCUCGCGCAAGCGGGUAGGAAACCCAAACCCAUUUGUGAAAUGUAUAGAUGUCUCUGGCGGUGGGGUGUUGAAAAAGUUCUUGUAGCUUUCUCGAUCCCUGUCAGCAUGCUUUUUGGAUGCUGUGGACAAGCCGCCAAUUGCUUCUUAACAACGCUUUUGCUAAGUAUCAUUGUCUAACCUGUUUAUUCUGUAUAAUAUACAAAAACAACUUUUGGCAACGGAUCUCUUGGCUCUC
rnacentral:misc_RNA from 1 species